rnacentral:sRNA from 1 species
UUGACAGCCCUGGAGACCAAAGUCCUCCAUCUAUCCACUGAACAGGGCUGCAGAAAUACAAACUACUCUACACUACCCCAUGAACAUGGCUGAGUCCUGACCUAGAGGAAAUGUUUCCUAUGUGGGAAGAGUCUCUUUGUUCAUUAAAAUCCUUUGUCUUUCUGCUCAC